GAUGAACGCUGGCGGCGUGCCUAAUACAUGCAAGUCGAGCGAACGGACGAGAAGCUUGCUUCUCUGAUGUUAGCGGCGGACGGGUGAGUAACACGUGGAUAACCUACCUAUAAGACUGGGAUAACUUCGGGAAACCGGAGCUAAUACCGGAUGAUAUUUUGAACCGCAUGGUUCAAAAGUGAAAGACGGUCUUGCUGUCACUUAUAGAUGGAUCCGCGCUGCAUUAGCUAGUUGGUAAGGUAACGGCUUACCAAGGCAACGAUGCAUAGCCGACCUGAGAGGGUGAUCGCCCACACUGGAACUGAGACACGGUCCAGACUCCUACGGGAGGCAGCAGUAGGGAAUCUUCCGCAAUGGGCGAAAGCCUGACGGAGCAACGCCGCGUGAGUGAGGAAGGUCUUCGGAUCGUAAAACUCUGUUAUUAGGGAAGAACAUAUGUGUAAGUAACUGUGCACAUCUUGACGGUACCUAAUCAGAAAGCCACGGCUAACUACGUG
rnacentral:rRNA from 1 species